rnacentral:rRNA from 3 species
CAUAAGUAACGAUAAAGCGGGUGAAAAGCCCGCUCGCCGGAAGACCAAGGGUUCCUGUCCAACGUUAAUCGGGGCAGGGUGAGUCGACCCCUAAGGCGAGGCCGAAAGGCGUAGUCGAUGGGAAACGGGUUAAUAUUCCCGUACUUGGUGUUACUGCGAAGGGGGGACGGAGAAGGCUAUGUUGGCCGGGCGACGGUUGUCCCGGUUUAAGCGUGUAGGUGUGUGUUCCAGGUAAAUCCGGUUCACUUUAACACUGAGGCGUGAUGACGAGGCACUACGGUGCUGAAGCAACAAAUGCCCUGCUUCCAGGAAAAGCCUCUAAGCAUCAGGUAACAUCAAAUCGUACCCCAAACCGACACAGGUGGUCAGGUAGAGAAUACCAAGGCGCUUGAGAGAACUCGGGUGAAGGAACUAGGCAAAAUGGUGCCGUAACUUCGGGAGAAGGCACGCUGACAC